GACGAACGCUGGCGGCGUGCUUAACACAUGCAAGUCGAGCGAGUGGAUUCCCUUCGGGGAUGAAGCUAGCGGCGGACGGGUGAGUAACACGUGGGCAACCUGCCUUAUAGAGGGGGAUAGCCUUCCGAAAGGAAGAUUAAUACCGCAUAAUAUCAGAUUAUCGCAUGGUAGACUGAUCAAAGGAGCAAUCAGCUAUAAGAUGGGCCCGCGUCGCAUUAGCUAGUUGGUGAGGUAACGGCUCACCAAGGCGACGAUGCGUAGCCGACCUGAGAGGGUGAUCGGCCACAUUGGGACUGAGACACGGCCCAGACUCCUACGGGAGGCAGCAGUGGGGAAUAUUGCACAAUGGGGGAAACCCUGAUGCAGCAACGCCGCGUGAGUGGUGAAGGCCUUCGGGUUGUAAAGCUCUUUGAUCAGGGACGAUAAUGACGGUACCUGAAGAACAAGCCACGGCUAACUACGUGCCAGCAGCCGCCGUAAGAC
rnacentral:rRNA from 1 species